AAACAUGACUUUGAUCUGCGUCCUCAUCUGGACUCUCCUCUGCUGCUGCUUCACAGAGUCCAGAGGACAGAUCACAGUGACUCAGCCUGGAGCAGUGAGCUCUGCUGUGGGAGGAUCUGUGAAUAUCAAGUGUAGGACCAGUCAGAACGUUUAUGUUUAUAACAACUACCAUCUUUUAGCCUGGUACCAACAGAAAGAUGGACAACCUCCCAAACGUCUCAUUUACUGGUCUAGCACUCGAGAUUCAGGGAUUCCAGCUCGUUUUACAGGCAGUGGAUCAAACUCUGACUUCACUCUGACCAUCAGUGGAGUCCAGGCUGAAGAUGCAGCAGUUUAUUACUGUCAGAGUGAACACUACAUGAACAGCCAACACGUGUUCACACAGUGAAAAACAGUCGUACAA